AACGCUGGCGGCAUGCCUUACACAUGCAAGUCGAACGGCAGCGGGGGAAAGCUUGCUUUCCUGCCGGCGAGUGGCGAACGGGUGAGUAAUACAUCGGAACGUGCCCUGUAGUGGGGGAUAACUAGUCGAAAGAUUAGCUAAUACCGCAUACGACCUGAGGGUGAAAGUGGGGGACCGCAAGGCCUCAUGCUAUAGGAGCGGCCGAUGUCUGAUUAGCUAGUUGGUGGGGUAAAGGCCUACCAAGGCGACGAUCAGUAGCUGGUCUGAGAGGACGAUCAGCCACACUGGGACUGAGACACGUCCCAGA
rnacentral:rRNA from 1 species